GACGAACGCUGGCGGCGUGCUUAACACAUGCAAGUCGAACGGUGAAGCUCCAGCUUGCUGGAGUGGAUCAGUGGCGAACGGGUGAGUAACACGUGAGCAACCUGCCCCUGACUCUGGAAUAAGCGCUGGAAACGGCGUCUAAUACUGGAUAUGAGAAGGGUCCGCAUGGACACUUUCUGGAAAGUUUUUCGGUUGGGGAUGGGCUCGCGGCCUAUCAGCUUGUUGGUGAGGUAACGGCUCACCAAGGCGACGACGGGUAGCCGGCCUGAGAGGGCGACCGGCCACACUGGGACUGAGACACGGCCCAGACUCCUACGGGAGGCAGCAGUGGGGAAUAUUGCACAAUGGGCGAAAGCCUGAUGCAGCGACGCCGCGUGAGGGAUGACGGCCUUCGGGUUGUAAACCUCUUUCAGCAGGGAAGAAGCGAAAGUGACGGUACCUGCAGAAGAAGCACCGGCUAACUACGUG
rnacentral:rRNA from 1 species